AGUGAACGCUGGCGGCGUGCCUAAUACAUGCAAGUCGAACGGAGAUUAAGUAGCUUGCUAUUUAAUCUUAGUGGCGCACGGGUGAGUAAUAUAUAGCUAACUUGCCCAUUACUAAGGGACAACAGUUGGAAACGACUGCUAAUACCUUAUACUCCGUAUCUAUACAAGUGGGUACGGGAAAGUUUUUCGGUAAUGGAUAGGGCUAUAUCGUAUCAGCUAGUUGGUAAGGUAAUGGCUUACCAAGGCUAUGACGCGUAACUGGUCUGAGAGGAUGAUCGGUCACACUGGAACUGAGACACGGUCCAGACUCCUACGGGAGGCAGCAGUAGGGAAUAUUGCUUAAUGGGGGAAACCCUGAAGCAGCAACGCCGCGUGGAGGAUGACACUUUUCGGAGCGUAAACUCCUUUUCUUGGGAAAGAAUUAUGACGGUACCCAAGGAAUAAGCACCGGCUAACUCCGUGCCAGCAGCCGCGGUAAUACGGAGGGUGCAAGCGUUACUCGGAAUCACUGGGCGUAAAGGACGCGUAGGCGGAUUAUCAAGUCUCUUGUGAAAUCUAACGGCUUAACCGUUAAACUGCUUGAGAAACUGAUAAUCUAGAGUAAGGGAGAGGCAGAUGGAAUUCUUGGUGUAGGGGUAAAAUCCGUAGAGAUCAAGAAGAAUACCCAUUGCGAAAGCGAUCUGCUGGAACUUAACUGACGCUAAUGCGUGAAAGCGUGGGGAGCAAACAGG
rnacentral:rRNA from 1 species